CACGAAGGUCACUGGGCACAGUGAGAACUUGGCUCCUCUGGGGGUUCUGAUGCCAAAGGCCUGGUCAGCUCCUGUCUCCAGCUCAGCAGCCUUCUCCCGGCCACAGUGACAGGCCUCUGGGACACCUAAGCAGUUCUGUGGCUUCAUUAUGCUCCCCUCCUGGAGUGACUCCCGAAUCCACCAAUUCCAGAGAACUUGCAUGUAGCAGGGCAAUUUAUUGAGACUUUAAUGGAGCAGAAUAACCGAUUCAGAAAUUACCUAUGUCUUGUUUUUCUCUGCAGCAGGCUCAACACAAAGGCACGAGAGGGAUCGAUCGCAGGACCUUGUGCUUGUGAGGCAGGCGUGGUGCCACUGAGCUAAUACCCCGGUCGCUUGCAGUGUGUUUUGAAGGAAAGAUGUGUCCUGUUGGUUUGCCAUUGUCCUGCUUGCUCAGUCACAGUUACAUUGGUACGAAGCAUAAGCACAGAGCUCAGUGGACCCAUGAUGCAUGAGAGCUUAGCCAGACUCAGAGUGAGGACAAAGUGGUGACAGAGACUCCAAAAAAACUAAAAUAGUCAUCUUUCAAGGUUAACAAGGAGCUACUCAGAAGCCUCAGCAUGACUGUCAAUAGCCAAUCAAAGGGAGCUGUCAGCUGCUCCCCUGAGGAAGGGUUUCAGUUAAUGAAGAGAGCAGGGCUGGGGUGGCUGCAUAUGGAGAAGAACCAGCUGUUUGAUAUCCUGCUUUGGAGCCCAAAGCUGAAGGUGAAGGAUGUGGGGUGCUGCAAUUCCCCCAAGCAGAACAGACCAGAAAGGGCCCAGUGGGAUGUCUGCAACCAGGGAAAACUUGCUACAAUCUGGGGCUCAUUCAGUGAAAUCCAUUGUCCUCUCCCCAAGAGAGGGGUACUCAAUUAAAUUUCUCCUGAGGUCUUUUUUCUCCCCCAGUGACCUUUUUCUUGAAAGAUUUUUCUUUUCUCAGAUACUGCAAGGUUAACUCAGAUGAAUAUUAUGGGAUCACAUUUAUGCAAUGUCCUUUACUGAACAUGCGCCUCAGUUUCCUUGUUUAUAAAAUGAAGGAGUGGGCAAAUACAAAAGGGUUGCAUAACACUCUGCCCCAAAAGAAUAUCAUGAGGGUUUUUUUUUUUAAGAGCUAUGGAAACUAAUUAAAAUUAAAAGAGUUUUCCUUCAGAUUCCCAAAUAAACUUCCUUCCUCAAGUGCAGUGUCAGAAGGGAAGAGGCUACUAUUUGGCUACGAUUGCUAACAGACAAUCUGCAGAGAAAGCAGAACCUCACAACUCCUUUUACUUUCAUCUUGUCAGCCAAGAAGACUGAUGUGUCUGGGAAGGUGGGGUAAACACAGGUAGGAAUGCACGGAAGCCCAUGAUGGGUGCAGAGAUAGUGAGAAUACCCCCAAACAAGCUCAAGUCUUCAGUCCUCAACAAAUUACUUCAAGACAGGUGGGACUGGGAACCACAAUCUCUAAUCUUGCAGAAAUAGUGUAAAAAAGAGGUGCCAAGUGCCUGGAGAUAACCACUUUUGUCCCAAUUUUCAAAGAGAGGUAAAAACUACGUUCUGGAAACUGGAGGCUGGUGAGCUUCAUAUUAACUCCCACAAAAUUCUCAACUGUUCUGUUAAAGAGACAACUGGAAGGAAAAUAUUUAGUAAGGAAAAUAAGAAUCAUCAGAAGCUGGCCUGAAUUCAUUAAUAUAAGUUUAUUUCAGGGAUAGUUCUGAUAUCACAUCAAGUUGGAAGAGAAAAGCAGGAUAAUUUGUAAAGUAUUUUUUAAUAAAGAUUUUGUUUGUUUACCUCUACCAGAAUAUAAGCUUCCUGAGGGCAGAAUUUUGGGGGAGGGAAGGAGUCUUUUGUUUACUGUUGCACCUACAAUAAUGUCCAACACAAAGAAGACAUCCAAUAUGCUUCUUUACAGGAAUCAAUACACAUGUAUAAUAAAAAGUUGGCAGGAGAUAGUAAAAUUUAAGUGAGCUCUCUGGUUGAUGUUGGGUUGCUUUCACUUUCUUCUUAAUUUAGGGAUUCUUUUCCUAUAUUUCUCAUUUUCUAUAAUUAGCAUAGGUUACUUUUAUAAUCACAAAAAUAAAAUAAUCUCUUCUUUGAAGGCUUACUCCUGAC
rnacentral:lncRNA from 1 species